CUCUGUGACUCCUACGGGAGGCAGCAGUGGGGAAUAUUGCACAAUGGGCGCAAGCCUGAUGCAGCCAUGCCGCGUGUGUGAAGAAGGCCUUCGGGUUGUAAAGCACUUUCAGUUGUGAGGAAGGUGGUGUCGUUAAUAGCGGCAUCAUUUGACGUUAGCAACAGAAGAAGCACCGGCUAACUCCGUGCCAGCAGCCGCGGUAAUACGGAGGGUGCGAGCGUUAAUCGGAAUUACUGGGCGUAAAGCGCAUGCAGGUGGUUUGUUAAGUCAGAUGUGAAAGCCCGGGGCUCAACCUCGGAACUGCAUUUGAAACUGGCAGACUAGAGUACUGUAGAGGGGUAGAAUUUCAGGUGUAGCGGUGAAAUGCGUAGAGAUCUGAAGGAAUACCGGUGGCGAAGGCGGCCCCCUGGACAGAUACUGACACUCAGAUGCGAAAGCGUGGGGAGCAAACAGGAUUAGAUACCCUGGUAG
rnacentral:rRNA from 1 species